GGCAGUGGCGGCUGCUAUACAUGCAGUCGAGCGGACAGAUGGGAGCUUGCUCCCUGAUGUUAGCGGCGGACGGGUGAGUAACACGUGGGUAACCUGCCUGUAAGACUGGGAUAACUCCGGGAAACCGGGGCUAAUACCGGAUGCUUGAUUGAACCGCAUGGUUCAAUUAUAAAAGGUGGCUUUUAGCUACCACUUACAGAUGGACCCGCGGCGCAUUAGCUAGUUGGUGAGGUAACGGCUCACCAAGGCAACGAUGCGUAGCCAACCUGAGAGGGUGAUCGGCCACACUGGGACUGAGACACGGCCCAAACUCCUACGGGAGGCAGCAGUAGGGAAUCUUCCGCAAUGGACGAAAGUCUGACGGAGCAACGCCGCGUGAGUGAUGAAGGUUUUCGGAUCGUAAAACUCUGUUGUUAGGGAAGAACAAGUACCGUUCGAAUAGGGCGGUACCUUGACGGUACCUAACCAGAAAGCCACGGCUAACUACGUGCCAGCAGCCGCGGUAAUACGUAGGUGGCAAGCGUUGUCCGGAAUUAUUGGGCGUAAAGCGCGCGCAGGCGGUUUCUUAAGUCUGAUGUGAAAGCCCCCGGCUCAACCGGGGAGGGUCAUUGGAAACUGGGGAACUUGAGUGCAGAAGAGGAGAGUGGAAUUCCACGUGUAGCGGUGAAAUGCGUAGAGAUGUGGAGGAACACCAGUGGCGAAGGCGACUCUCUGGUCUGUAACUGACGCUAAGGCGCGAAAGCGUGGGGAGCGAACAGGAUUAGAUACCCUGGUAGUCCACGCCGUAAACGAUGAGUGCUAAGUGUUAGAGGGUUUCCGCCCUUUAGUGCUGCAGCAAACGCAUUAAGCACUCCGCCCGGGGAGUACGGUCGCAAGACUGAAACUCAAAGGAAUUGACGGGGGCCCGCACAAGCGGUGGAGCAUGUGGUUUAAUUCGAAGCAACGCGAAGAACCUUACCAGGUCUUGACAUCCUCUGACAACCCUAGAGAUAGGGCUUCCCCUU
rnacentral:rRNA from 1 species